UACGGGGGGGGCAAGCGUUGUUCGGAAUUACUGGGCGUAAAGGGCGCGUAGGCGGCCUUCUAAGUCGGACGUGAAAUCCCUCGGCUUAACCGAGGAACUGCGUCCGAUACUGAAAGGCUUGAAUCCGGGAGAGGGAAGCGGAAUUCCGGGUGUAGCGGUGAAAUGCGUAGAUAUCCGGAGGAACACCGGUGGCGAAGGCGGCUUCCUGGACCGAUUACUGACGCUGAGGCGCGAAAGCUAGGGGAGCAAACGGG
rnacentral:rRNA from 1 species